CGCGGGGUAGAGCAGAGGCAGCUCGUCGGGCUCAUAACCCGGAGGUCGCAGGUUCGAAUCCUGUCCCCGCUACCA
rnacentral:tRNA from 1 species